rnacentral:rRNA from 1 species
UACAGAGGUCUCAAGCGUUGUUCGGAUUCAUUGGGCGUAAAGGGUGCGUAGGUGGCGCGCUAAGUCGGGUGUGAAAUUUCGGAGCUUAACUCCGAAACUGCAUUCGAUACUGGCGUGCUUGAGGACUGGAGAGGAGACUGGAAUUCAUGGUGUAGCAGUGAAAUGCGUAGAGAUCAUGAGGAAGACCAGUGGCGAAGGCGGGUCUCUGGACAGUUCCUGACACUGAGACACGAAGGCUAGGGGAGCAAACGGG